GCUGGGUGUGGUAGCAUGUACCAGUAGUUCCACCUAUUUGGGAGGCUGAAACAGGAGGAUUACUUGAGCCCAGGAAUUUAAGACCAACCUGGGCAACAUAGUGAGACCUCCAUCUC
rnacentral:sRNA from 1 species